AUUGAACGCUGGCGGCAGGCCUAACACAUGCAAGUCGAGCGGAAACGAGUUAUCUGAACCUUCGGGGAACGAUAACGGCGUCGAGCGGCGGACGGGUGAGUAAUGCCUAGGAAAUUGCCCUGAUGUGGGGGAUAACCAUUGGAAACGAUGGCUAAUACCGCAUGAUGCCUACGGGCCAAAGAGGGGGACCUUCGGGCCUCUCGCGUCAGGAUAUGCCUAGGUGGGAUUAGCUAGUUGGUGAGGUAAGGGCUCACCAAGGCGACGAUCCCUAGCUGGUCUGAGAGGAUGAUCAGCCACACUGGAACUGAGACACGGUCCAGACUCCUACGGGGGGCAGCAGUGGGGAAUAUUGCACAAUGGGCGCAAGCCUGAUGCAGCCAUGCCGCGUGUAUGAAGAAGGCCUUCGGGUUGUAAAGUACUUUCAGUCGUGAGGAAGGUAGUGUAGUUAAUAGCUGCAUUAUUUGACGUUAGCGACAGAAGAAGCACCGGCUAACUCCGUGCCAGCAGCCGCGGUAAUACGGAGGGUGCGAGCGUUAAUCGGAAUUACUGGGCGUAAAGCGCAUGCAGGUGGUUUGUUAAGUCAGAUGUGAAAGCCCGGGGCUCAACCUCGGAUUAGCAUUUGAAACUGGCAGACUAGAGUACUGUAGAGGGGGGUAGAAUUUCAGGUGUAGCGGUGAAAUGCGUAGAGAUCUGAAGGAAUACCGGUGGCGAAGGCGGCCCCCUGGACAGAUACUGACACUCAGAUGCGAAAGCGUGGGGAGCAAACAGG
rnacentral:rRNA from 1 species